AUACUAACAAAAAUCACUCUCAUUAAAAGAGUAUGAUUCUCACGCUCGGUUCUUCUUUUCUUCUCACACUCGCUUCUCCUCCUCUUCGUCUUUCUUCUUUUUCUUCUUUCAAAUUUGCACAAGUUCUUCUUCUUCCAUCCUCCUCCUCCUCCUCCUUCUAAAUUUGCACACGCAGGUUUUUCUUCUUUUCUUCUCCUCCUCUUUAAUUUCUUUUUUUCCUCCUCCUUCUUCUUCUUUAUCAUCAUCACUAAUAACACUAACAUUUUUCAAACGACUUUAUUAGUUCUAAUUUUUUCUACUAUCUUCAUUAAAUAAUUUUAGUUCAUUUUUUAAUUUAUUUCGGUUCAUUUGUGUGUUAAUUGUCGGUUCAUUUGUGUGUUAAUUUCGAUUCACUUGAUACUACUGAUAAGCAUUAACCAAUUUUUUUAUUCACAAGUGAACCAAAACUAACACACAAACAAACUGAAAUUAAUUCACAAAUGAACCAAAAUAAACUAAAAAAUAAACUGAAAUUAUUUAAUGAUGGCACCAGAGAAAAUCAGAACCAAUAAAGAUGUUAAUAAAAUAUUGGUGUUGUUCGUGAUGACGAUAACGAAAGAGGUGAAGAAGAAGAAGAAUCUGCGUGCGGGAAAAAAGAAAAAUAAAAUUGAAUCAUGAACAAAAACACAUCCAAAUCCAUCAAGUAAUUUUGCAGCAUUAUGUGUUUCUUCUUCUUUAUUUGAUUAGAUGAAAAAGGUAAGAAAAGAAGAACAUGAUGAGAAAUUUGAGGCAUUUUUUUUCUUAUAUUUUCUAUUUUGUUUGAUUUUUCUUUUUUUUGUUUUAUUCCUCUUAAGAUAGUGAAACAAAAAAAAUUACACUACAAGAAAAAAGGCCUAUGGCCACGCUUUUUUGCUACACUUUAAAAGCGUGGCCAAAAGUGGUCUAUGGCCACGCUUAUAUGAGUGUGGCGUUUGAAUAGAGAUUUGGUCAUGCUUUUUUUUGCUACGCUUUAAAAGCGUGGCGAAAAUGGUCAAUGGCCACGCUUUUAUGAGGGUGGCAGUUGAUGCAAGAUUUAGCCACGUUUUUUUCUGCCACGCUUAUAAGCGUAGCCAUAGAGAGAUUUCGGCACGCUUUUAAAGCGUGGCAACAGAAAUUUAUUAUUGUGGCGUUUCAGAAGCGUAGCCGUUUCCUACAAGCCUUUUGGCACGCUUCAAAAGCGUGGCCAAAAGGUUCCCUCAGAAAAAAAACUAAAGAAGCUGGAAUUAAACAAAAAUGCUCCAGAGUUCAAUUCUUCAUGAUUCAAAGACUUAGAGAAAAAAAGCCCUAGCUAACUCCUUCUUUGUGCCCUGCCCUAACUUCUCCUUCGAAAGCCCCAAUGGCAACCACCAAUCUCCGUUGUGCCUCAUCGCUGCCCCCUUGGAAAGCCCUAGCUAACCCUUCUUCAUUGUGCUCGCCUUAACCCUUCUUCAAAAGCCCUAACCCCUGCCCUCACCGUGACGACAACACUCCAACGAAGUACCACUCGGACGACAAUCCGUGAAGAACGACGAAGCCCUCCCUUCCGCACUGCCGCUCGCUUCCUGCUUCUUCACUUCCGUGGAGAACGACGAAACCCUCCCUUCCACGCUGUUGCUCGCUUCCUGCUUCUUCGCUUCUGUGAAGAACGACGAAGCCCUCCCUUCCGCGCUGCCGCUCGCUUCCUACUUCUUCGCUUCCAUGAAGAACGACGAAGCCCUCCUUUCCGUGUUGCCGCUCGCUUUCUGGCAGCCACCUCGUCUUCCUCCACUCUUCCCUCCACUCUGCCACUCUCUGUCUGCAUCAUCAAGAAUGGAGCCUCUGACUUAGCUUUACGCGUAUCAAUAUAAUAUGGGGCUUCUCUUGAUUGAGAAAAAAGAGUGGAGCUCUAAGUAUAAUGAGCUGAAUCAAGAUUUGGCAGAAGUGAAGGAUGCUCUUGAAAGAGAAAAAUCUGCUCAUUUAAUUGCCAUCUCUGAGGCAGAGAAGCGGGAAGAGCAUCUGAGGAAGGCCUUGGGUGUUGAGAAAGAAUGUGUGCUUGAUAGUCAAAGUUGGCGGAAGCAAAUGCAUUGGUUGCUAGCAUUGAAGAGAAAUCUUUAGAAGUGGAAGGAAAGUUGCGCUCUGCUGAUGCCAAACUUGCAGAAAUAAGUAGAAAGAGUUAAGAGAUUGACAGAAAAUCACACGAUCUUGAGUCUCAAGAAGCUUUGCUUCGAAGGGAUCGCUUAUCUCUGAUUGCAGAGUACUCAUGAUAAAAUGUUCUUGCUCAAACAUUUUUAUGGCCUGGUGUCUCAGAUUUGACAAGAUCAUUUAGACUUUAUAGGAAGUCUAUGCUUGAAGACAUCAUUAGUUGCUGCAUUAGUAAGGGAUAUGUCUUUCAAAUGGAGAUGAUAGUCAGAGCAUCCAGAAAAGGAUAUCAUAUUAAAGAGGUAUCAAUUAGAAGUAUUUGAAGUUGCAAAGAAGAGGAAUACAAUAGCAGUGUUGGAUACAAGUGCUGGUAAGACCUUAAUAGCUGUGUUGGUUAUGAAGAACAUUGGUCAAGCUAUCAGGUCUAGUAUGUGCUUUGUUUUGAAGCAAUUAGUGAACUAUUGGUGCUAGUUCCAACGGUAGUUGUGCCUUUUAUUUGGUCACCUUGUGAAAUUUUUCUUAACCUACAAAAUUAGAUAGGUCUUGGUCUUCAGUAGCUAUCCAUGAGAUUUAGAACGAUGUUGAACACAUAAACAACUCAUAAAAGAAAAUUUUCUAAUAGUAUUGAAUUUUCUAGACCUUGGAAUUCUUCUCAGCAUUAGCUUUAUUAUUUUCUAUUAAUCUUACUCUUUUUUUGUGAGUUAUAUUAUUUGCUUACCACUAGGCAUAAACAUUGCCGGCAAUUCAAUACAGCAAAGUAAAGCAUUUAAUGAUUAGUUAAACCUAUGAUGCUACAAAAUUUCACAUUUAAUCUACAUAUGAAACUUCUCUCAUGAUGGCAACUUGAGAUUCAGGUUAGGUUCUGCAGUCAUUGUCUCAUUUUUCAUUAAUUUGUGAGUUAUCAAUAUAUCUAGAUGCGGUUCAUGAUUUCUUGUAUAGUAAAAAAAACUUGAUUAGAGUUUUGAAUAGAAUAGUAACUCUUAAAUAACAAGAGAAUAAUGUAAUUUUACAUUGUAUGUGAGUUUGAAUGGUUCUGGAGCUGUGGCUUCAUCAGUUCCCAGUUCAUCAGCUUUUUUCGGAAGCAUCUUGAAGAAGGUUAUAUCAAGAAUCCCCAGCAGUAGCAAGGUUUCCUCCGGAAGCUUCAAGAUUGUGGAGAUCGAUGAGGACAAGCAAACAGAUAAGGACAGAUGGAAAGGAUUGGCCUAUGAUAUCUCAGAUGACCAGCAAUUCAUCACAAGAGGAAAGGGUAUUUUGUAGCUUUUAAUGUGUAUUUUGUAGUUUUUAAAGGUAGAAGAUAAUGUAAUAGUUGUUGGAAUUAUAAUGCAUGUAUUACAAAUUUAUGGGUAGUUGUUAUCAUUUCGAUUUUUUGUUAGAGCUUGUCAUGUGAUCAACCACUAUA